GAUCUGGCUCAGGAUGAACGCUAGCGACAGGCUUAACACAUGCAAGUCGAGGGGCAGCAUUGUUUGUAGCAAUACAGACAGAUGGCGACCGGCGCACGGGUGAGUAACGCGUAUGCAACCUGCCUAUCAGAGGGGAAUAACCCGGCGAAAGUCGGACUAAUACCGCAUAAAACAGGGGUCCCGCAUGGGAAUAUUUGUUAAAGAAGCGAUUCGCUGAUAGAUGGGCAUGCGUU
rnacentral:rRNA from 1 species